rnacentral:rRNA from 1 species
AAUGGGAGAAAUCCUGAUCCAGCAAUCCCGCGUGAGUGAUGAAGGCCUUCGGGUCGUAAAGCUCUUUUAAUGGGGAAGAAGGGAAACUUGACGGUACCCAUAGAAAAAGCACCGGCUAACUCUGUGCCAGCAGCCGCGGUAAUACAGAGGGUGCAAGCGUUGUUCGGAAUUAUUGGGCGUAAAGCGCGUGUAGGUGGCUUACUAAGUCUGGUGUGAAAGCCCGGGGCUCAACCCCGGAAGUGCACUGGAUACUGGAAAGCUAGAGGGCGAGAGAGGAGAUUGGAAUUCAUGGUGUAGGGGUGAAAUCCGUAGAUAUCAUGAGGAACAUCUGUGGCGAAGGCGAAUCUCUGGCUCGUUUCUGACACUGAGACGCGAAAGCGUGGGGAGCAAA